rnacentral:misc_RNA from 1 species
AAUGAAUUGACUAUAAUUCAUCGGUUAUUAUACGAAAACACUAAUUUGUUUGGUCAAUCAAUACUAAAGCAUUAAUCCAAUAAAUUUUAAAUCUUGUGAUUAUAGUAAUAUAUGUUGCAAGAUAUCUAUAGUUCUCAGCUUUGCUAAUGUGUAGCUACUUCCAUUCUUCAAACAUCAUAACAGUGAGGAAAAUAAACAAGCCAAGUUACUAGUCCUUCAGAAAACCUUGAAAAAAAUAAAUAAACCAACUACCAAUUGCCAAUUGCAUAUGCAAAUACACAAG